AGUGAACGCUGGCGGCGUGCCUAAUACAUGCAAGUCGAACGAAGUGGCGCACGGGUGAGUGAUAUAUAGUUAAUCUGCCCUUCACAGAGGAACAACAGUUGGAAACGGCUGCUAAUACCCCAUAGUGUAGGAUGAGACUAUAUCGGAUCAGCUAGUUGGUAAGGUAAUGGCUUACCAAGGCUAUGACGGGUAACUGGUCUAAGAAGAUGAGCAGUCAAAUUGGAACGGAGACACGGUCCAGACUCCUACGGGAAGCAGCAGUAAGGAAUAUUGCGCAAGGGGCGAAACCCUGACGCAGCAACGCCGCGUGAAGGAUGACACUUUGCGGAGCGUAAACGCCUUUUAUCAGGAAAGCGGUACCUGAUGAAUAAGCACCGGCUAACUCCGUGCCAGCAGCCGCGGUAAUUC
rnacentral:rRNA from 1 species